rnacentral:rRNA from 1 species
AUUGAACGCUGGCGGCAGGCCUAACACAUGCAAGUCGAACGAGUGGCGGACGGGUGAGUAAUGUCUGGGAAACUGCCUGAUGGAGGGGGAUAACUAUUGGAAACGGUAGCUAAUACCGCAUACCAUCAGAUGUGCCCAGAUGGGAUUAGCUUGUUGCGGGGGUAACGGCUCACUAAGGCGACGAUCCCUAGCUGUUCUGAGAGGAUGACCAGCCAAACUGGAACUGAGAGACGGUCCAGACUCCUACGGGAGGCAGCAGUGGGGAAUAUUGCACAAUGGGGGCAAGCCUGAUGCAGACAUGCCGCGUGUAUGAAGAAGGGCUUCGGGUUGUAAAGUACUUUCAGCGGGGAGGCGUUACCCGCAGAAGAAGCACCGGCUAACUCCGUGCCAGCAGCCGCGGUAAUUC